UACGGAGGGGGCGAGCGUUAUUCGGAAUUAUUGGGCGUAAAGGGCGCGUAGGCGGCCCGGUAAGUCAAAGGUGAAAUCCCUCGGCUCAACUGAGGAACUGCCUUUGAAACUGUCGGGCUUGAGGCCGGGAGGGGGUAGCGGAAUUCCCAGUGUAGCGGUGAAAUGCGUAGAUAUGUGGAAGAACACCGGUGGUGAAGACGGUUUUCUGGGCUGAUACUGACGCUGAGGCGCGAAAGCAAGGGGAGCAAACAGG
rnacentral:rRNA from 1 species